rnacentral:rRNA from 1 species
GUAACACGUAGUCAACCUGCCCUGGAGACAUGGAAAACCCCGGGAAACUGGGAUUAAUCCGUGAUAGGUCACCUCAUCUGGAAGGAGAGAUGGCUUAAAGGGGUGCGAGAGCUUCUUUCUUGCAUUCGCUCCAGGAUGGGACUGCGGCCGAUCAGGCUGUUGGCGGUGUAAUGGACCACCAAACCUGUAACCGGUACGGGCCUUGAGAGAGGGGGCCCGGAGAUGGACACUGAGAGAAGGGUCCAGGUCCUACGGGGCGCAGCAGGCGCGAAACCUUCGCAAUGCGCGAAAGCGUGACGAGGUUAAUCCGAGUGGUCCCCGCUGAGGGGAUCUUUUGUUGGCUGUAAAAAGGCCGAUGAAUAAGGGGAGGGCAAGUCUGGUGUCAGCCGCCGCGGUAAUACCAGCUCCUCGAGUGGUCGGGGCGAUUAUUGGGCCUAAAGCAUCCGUAGCCGGUUCUGUAGGUCCUCUGUCAAAUCCAACGGCUUACCGUUGGCCCGCAGAGGAUACCGCAGGACU